rnacentral:rRNA from 1 species
CCUACGGGAGGCAGCAGUGGGGAAUAUUGGACAAUGGGCGAAAGCCUGAUCCAGCCAUGCCGCGUGUGUGAAGAAGGCCUUCGGGUUGUAAAGCACUUUCAGUGGGGAAGAAAGCCUUGGGGCUAAUACCCUCGAGGAAGGACAUCACCCACAGAAGAAGCACCGGCUAACUCCGUGCCAGCAGCCGCGGUAAUACGGAGGGUGCGAGCGUUAAUCGGAAUUACUGGGCGUAAAGCGCGCGUAGGCGGUCUGAUAAGCCGGUUGUGAAAGCCCCGGGCUCAACCUGGGAACGGCAUCCGGAACUGUCAGGCUAGAGUGCAGGAGAGGAAGGUAGAAUUCCCGGUGUAGCGGUGAAAUGCGUAGAGAUCGGGAGGAAUACCAGUGGCGAAGGCGGCCUUCUGGACUGACACUGACGCUGAGGUGCGAAAGCGUGGGUAGCAAACAGGAUUAAUACCCGGGUAGUC